AAAGUGAAUAUUCUACAACCGAAGACAGUAGGUGCAAAGCACUUUUGAAAAAGUGCUUUGCUUAAAGUUUGCCUACCGAGGUUGUAAUUAUUAAAUCCGUCGGCUGAUAAAAGCUUUUUUUAAGUGGUAUUGUUAGCCGAGGGGAAGGGUAAUUACAGCCUCUUUAAGGUAAACUUAAAGAGGCUUUAAUAAUUUUUAU
rfam:Caldicellulosiruptor saccharolyticus DSM 8903, complete genome.